rnacentral:lncRNA from 10 species
UGGCCGCACACCCCCACAUCUCAUCCGCCCCUGGUGGGCAGCCUCCCCAAGGGAUUGAUUCCUUCCUCAGCAACAGUUGCUCAGAGUUGAGCACAGGAACUUGCCUUUUUCCAAGUAGCAGACACAGGCCGAGGCACAGAGUGGGGCUGAGGAAAUGUGCCGUGAAUGGAUGGUGAACAGGAAGGGACACUGAAGAAGGAGGCGGUACUGAGAGCAGCCAUCUUGGAGCUUGGAAACGGAGACGCAUGUGAAGCCGUUUGCACAGUAUUUUUCCCUUAAAAUAUGGGUGGGGAACAAGGGGCUGUCAUUUGUCUUUUUCUUUGGGAUGGUGAGCAGUGAGCAGGGCACGCCGCGAGGAGCAAACUGCAGCCCAAGCACACGCGGUCAGCACGCGGAGCACAGGUGGGGAGAAGCGGCUGACGGUGGCGUGGCCCCGCGUACCUGGGUGUGGACGCCCCGCCGCCCCGCAGGGGAAAGCUCCUGGAGUCUGGGGUCUGCUGCCCCGAGCUCUGGGUGUCCAGGACAAUCAUGCUGGCUGUUAGUGAAGAAUGGCCUGGAGCACUGGGUCUCCGCCCCAGCUGCCUGGGAGAAACUGUGUUGAAGGAGCCAUACCCCCUGGCCUCCCCUCCAGACUCCAGACAACCCCAGUCAGCUGGCUGGGAGGGAGGCAGAAGAGAAACAGGGGUGCACCUGGGGCUCCUGCAGGGGUCCAGCCAGGAGAUGGGGGCAACUUGGACAGGGACGAUCCUGGGAAGGGCAGGAGGAGGAGUGAGACCUGGCCUGCCCUCUCCCUAGAGGCUCAUCAGCUCCCUGGAGACAGACACGCCCUGGUUCCUUUCCCUAUGCCUGGAGCCUGGGUACCAGCUAUUGAAAACUGCUUUUCUCCUUGUUCAUUCAAACAUAUUCACACAUAAAGGUUGUCAUUCCUUUUUGUCACUAUUUGACAAAAAUUGGAUCAUACCGUAUACAAUUCUCUGCUAUUUGUUUUGCUCACCUAACAAUAAAUACACUGUGAAAAAUACCUUCAGAUGAGUAGAUAUCAAUCUUGUUCAUUCUUUUUUUU